rnacentral:rRNA from 1 species
UAUUUAUUAGAUAAAAAACCAACGCCCUUCGGGGCUCCUUGGUGAAUCAUAAUAACUUAACGAAUCGCAUGGCCUUGCGCCGGCGAUGGUUCAUUCAAAUUUCUGCCCUAUCAACUUUCGAUGGUAGGAUAGUGGCCUACCAUGGUGGCAACGGGUAACGGGGAAUUAGGGUUCGAUUCCGGAGAGGGAGCCUGAGAAACGGCUACCACAUCCAAGGAAGGCAGCAGGCGCGCAAAUUACCCAAUCCCGAUACGGGGAGGUAGKGACAAUAAAUACUGAUACGGGGCUCUUUUGGGUCUCGUAAUUGGAAUGAGAACAAUUUAAAUCCCUUAACGAGGAACAAUUGGAGGGCAAGUCUGGUGCCAGCAGCCGCGGUAAUUCCAGCUCCAAUAGCGUAUAUUAAAGUUGUUGCAGUUAAAAAGCUCGUAGUUGAACCUUGGGUCUGGCUGGCCGGUCCGCCUCACCGCGAGUACUGGUCCGGCUGGACCUUUCCUUCUGGGGAACCUCAUGGCCUUCACUGGCUGUGGGGGGAACCAGGACUUUUACUGUGAAAAAAUUAGAGUGUUCAAAGCAGGC